rnacentral:rRNA from 1 species
CCUACGGGCGGCAGCAGUGGGGAAUAUUGCACAAUGGGGGAAACCCUGAUGCAGCAACGCCGCGUGAAGGAAGAAGGCUUUCGGGUUGUAAACUUCUUUUAAGAGGGAAGAGCAGAAGACGGUACCUCUUGAAUAAGCCACGGCUAACUACGUGACAGCAGCCGCGGUAAUACGUAGGUGGCAAGCGUUGUCCGGAUUUACUGGGUGGAAAGGGCGUGCAGCCGGGAAGACAAGUCAGAUGUGAAAUCCCGCGGCUCAACCGCGGAACUGCAUUUGAAACUGGUUUGCUUGAGUACCGGAGAGGUCAUCGGAAUUCCUUGUGUAGCGGUGAAAUGCGUAGAUAUAAGGAAGAACACCAGAGGCGAAGGCGGAUGACUGGACGGCAACUGACGGUGAGGCGCGAAAGCGUGGGGAGCAAACAGGAUUAGAUACCCCAGUAGUC